rnacentral:rRNA from 1 species
AUUGAACGCUGGCGGCAGGCCUAACACAUGCAAGUCGAACGAGUGGCGGACGGGUGAGUAAUGUCUGGGAAACUGCCUGAUGGAGGGGGAUAACUACUGGAAACGGUAGCUAAUACCGCAUACCAUCGAAUGUGCCCAGAUGGGAUUGGCUUGUAGGUGGGGUAACGGCUCACCAAGGCGACGAUCCCUAGCUGGUCUGAGAGGAUGACCAGCAACACUGGAACUGAGACACGGUCCAGACUCCUACGGGAGGCAGAAGUGGGGAAUAUUGCACAAUGGGCGCAAGCCUGAUGCAGCCAUGCCGCGUGGAUGAAGAAGGCCUUCGGGUUGUAAAGUACUUUCAGCGGGGAGGCGUUACCCGCAGAAGAAGCACCGGCUAACUCCGUGCCAGCAGCCGCGGUAAUAC